UUUUAUCUAUAAAACUUUCAAUAUAUUAAAAAACCAGUACAAAUCUCACAAGGAACCCGAUAAACAAACAACUUAUAAAAUAAAAGUUCAAAUAGAAUGAGAGUUGCAAUCCAAAGCUCUCACAAACUUAGGUUCGUAGGCUGCAGGGGUUGCUGCUAACUGCAGAGAAUUGCAGCACCUCCCUUUUCUUUGCCGUUACUUUCGUCAAAUUCCGUCAAUGUCCCUGUAAGUUCGGUCCAAUUACGGGAAAAACCCACGACGAAAUCCAAGAGUGAAUGCAAAGUGAAUGGGGAGGUUACGGGUGGUGCUUUUAAAAAUGUGUAUGGGAGAGAUUUU
rnacentral:lncRNA from 1 species